AUUCCAGCUCCAAUAGCGUAUAUUAAAGUUGUUGUGGUUAAAAAGCUCGUAGUUGGAUCUCGGCGGUCUGAGGGCGGUUCGCUUCAGAGCGCUACUGCCCUAUAGACCGUAGUUUUGCCAGAGGUCUCAGGGUGCUCUUAACCGAGUGUCUUGCGAUGCUGGCAGGUUUACUUUGAAAAAAUUAGAGUGCUCAAAGCAGGCUUUUACGCCUGAAUAUUCGUGCAUGGAAUAAUAGAAUAGGAAGUCGUUUCUAUUUUGUUGGUUUUCGGAAAUCGACUUAAUGAUUAAUAGGGAUAGUUGGGGGUAUUCGUAUUCAAUUGUCAGAGGUGAAAUUCUUGGAUUUAUGGAAGACGAACUACUGCGAAAGCAUUCACCAAGGAUGUUUUCAUUA
rnacentral:rRNA from 1 species